UGCUAUUGGCUACCGCGAACGCCCGUCCCAGCCCCGUCACCAAUAACGAGGCAUAGCGCCGCGGGGCUAAACCGGGGCGAGUUCGGCCAAUAGCGUGGGAGAAGGUGGGAGGGGCCACCUCUAGCGCCGCGGUGAGGGGCAGCUAAGAUGGCGGCAAGGGGGGGGUCCGGUGGACUCGGUGCUGCCCGUUCCCCGUCCACGCGCUCAGCGCCGCCACCCCCCGCUCGGAAGCAUGGGAACAUUAAAACCACAUGAGAGUAUCACCAGGCACCAGUUAGCGUGGCUCUCCCAGGAAGCAUUGUGAUACUUCAGGUCCGCAUGACCUCCUGAUGUGCGGAGGUGUGGCGGUGUGGAAGGACAGAGAGAGGGACAGAGGAAUGAAGGAGGAAGGAGUUGUGCUUGCAACUGAGAUAAGUGGUGAGAUAGGAGCUCCAGAGUCUCCUAUGCUUACACAACAUAACACAUACUUGUGCAUAUGCACCUCCCACUCACAGUCAUACAGAAUAUUGCAUAAUAUUGCCAUCUGAGUGUGUAGAAUUAACUGAAUUGUUUUCAAAGAUAAAAAUUUUCCCUCAGUUACAGCUAUAGGAUCUUUUGUCUUUCUGUGCGUGUUAGCUGUGGAAUAUGAGAGCAGCCAAGCAGUCUGUGACAACUUUGUUUUGCAAAGUACUCAGAUUGGACCAGAAUAUGAAGCUUUAAGAACAUGGGAAAACAUUUUAUUUAAUGCAGAACAGUAAUGUUGUGUUGGAUUUUACAUUUCAAAACCUCUCAGUACUCAUUUCUGUGUUUACUUCUUAAAGAAGCUGCUGUUAACACAUUGGAACUCUAGAAUAUUAGAUACUUUUUUUUCUUCAUGAAAAGAAAUCAGAGAUAAAUAAAGCAUAUCAUUUUAUGUAAGAUCCCACCUUACCCCCUAAGUACAGCUGUGCAAAAACACAAUCCUAUCCAUAAAGAACAACAAAAAAAAGUUCUAUAAAAUAGACGUUUCAGCAAAUGAGUUGACUAUUGAGGAAAGACAGUUUCACAGUAAGUAAAAUUAUUUCAGUUACUGCAAUGAGCAGUUUGACUACCUCAUUUUCCUUCUUUAUGUGAGAACACAGUUUGGAUUUUAUCAGAAGGUUUUAGUGUGCAUUUUUUUCCCCAGCAGUUUGGUAUUCUUUUAGUAUGACAGAUUUGUGCAAGUUCUUUUAUACUGACCUCAGUUUUGAAGUUCUUUAUACUUAGAUUUCCACAGAAAUUGGCUUAUUAUAAUCGCAUUAGGUUUCAGUCUUGCAAAGAUUUGCAUAUGUGCUUAAUGUCAACUGUGUGAAUAGUCCUAUUAAGUUCAGUAUGAUGACUCUUGCACAACAUGAAGUAUGCACAGACAUCUCAUUAAAUUGAGGGCCGUAUGUUAGUGCAUCAAAACAAGUUAUACAUCAUUUAAUUUUAAAAUAGAGCUGUGGAACUAAUGUGUUAUUUGAAAAAACGUUCUGGACUUAUCUGAAGUCCCAGAGGCACAGCUUAGUUCAAUUUCUUGUCUCUCGCAGUUUUUAAACGGUACAAGUUCUAAACCAGAGAUGUCACUUCGAAUGAAAACUGCAGCCAAGACAGUUCAAACAGAGCUGGGCACAUUCAGUCUUAAUUUUCUUCAUCUUUAUUCAAGUAUUUAAACAUACUUAAAGGGGAAGAAAAUUAUCAUUUGUAAUUGGGAACUGAAAAAUGACCUUUUUUAAUUUGUUGAUUCAUUAAGCCUCAAAAUGAGUACUUUUAUAUCUGUGUUUUGGUUGGUUGUUCUGUGGCUGUUUUCUUCAGAACUAUUGGAAUUAAUGUCAUUGCUAAAAAGGACCUGUGCACGCUAAGGGUUAAAAGCCUUAUACCUCAAAGUGAGUAGCCUUGGCUGCUGUAUAUUUCAGCUGGAUUCACAAGUGCACUUCCUGGGAGCCUACUUUUGUGUGGAGUAUUUAUAGCCCUGUUCAGUCCCACUAACUUCAGAGGGAUGACGUGAACACCCAGUACUGUCACCUCAGUAGUAGUUAAUGGUGUUCCUUUUUUAAUCUUAAUGGGCAAAUCAGUUUUAAAACCCUUUUCAGGUUUUUCUGAAGAAAGAAAUGAAAUUAUGGUUGAUAGUAGGAGAAUUGUAAUUUUUGUAACCAAACUUGGCUAUAAGGAGUUAGCUCUCAUUCGACUGAAAAUUAUUAGAGGUUAAAGAUAAAUACUCACCUUUCAGUAUUAUUUAAUGGAGUGCAACCCAACAAAAGAGAAAGAAGUUACCAAUCAGCUAAAGUGCUGACUGAAUCAGUUGCGAAGCAGUGUUGGCUGAACAUCGUAUGAAAAGUUGUAUAAAUGCAUGCAGUCAGAAAAUAACCUAGUACGAGAGAAAUUAGAGAAAACAUCCUAUAUUCCACAGUUGCUUGGAAACACUGAUGUUUUCACAGCGGAGUGAUGCUGAUGACAUUGAACACAACUGCAGUUAGUGAAGUAAAUGUUCACCUUUGUGGGGUGAAAAUGAAUUGGUACUGGCAAAUUUCUGGUCUUUGUUUUGUGUUUUGUUUCUCUUACUUGGGAUUAAAAAAAAAAGACACAAUCAUGUUACAAGCCCACACUCCACUAUGAUAUGGGAAACUACAGAGGAUCAGGAACUUUCCUUGGUUACGUAGACAAGUGAGACAUGGAAAUAUGAAAACACAUUACCAUCCUUCUUACAGUAUCUCAUUAGAGUUCUCAGAUGUGUUUAUCAUUUCCUAUGCUUUUCUUCUAUCCCAUUAUCACUCACUUACAACCUGAAAAUGAUUGGUCUGUUUAGUGUGUUAUUUAGAAUGUGAAAAGGUUAAAUAUGAAAACAGUUUUUUUCCUAUGUGAUAAAAUAAGUGUAGGGUUUUCUAAGAAGCUGUAGAUAUUUUCAAAGCUCUGCACAGAAAGGUUUCUAAGCGAUGUCCAAAAUGUGGUGAAUAUUGUGUCUCUAUUUAAAAAAAGAUAAAUCCUUAUAACUUCAUAGUGUCUCAUGAAAAAAAAUCAUUGCUUCAUUCACUUCUUCUCACCCACUCUCAGCUGUAAGUACCUAAUGAAUAAGGUCUGUCUCAUAAAGUUGUAACUCGCAUAUCUCACUGGCUGCCAAAAAAACUUGCACAGAAAGAUUGUUUAUGAUGAAGACUUCACUUUCCAAAUAAUCAGAAAUAAAUGCAGGACUGAGGUAUAAAAAAUAUUGCAAAAUGGGCAUCUGCAUAUUAUGUGAGGUGGGCACAAAUAAUUUAUAUCAGCAUCAUUUUUAUUGCACUUCAACAUAAAUAGCAAGCAUAUUUCAAUCUGGCCUGAUCUAUGGAAUUUUGGAUGUUUACUACAUGGCUGGGUGAUUUUUAUCACUGGAUUUUGUAUUUUAAAAUUAUGUAAAUUACGCAAGGAUAAAAAAAAAAAACCUAGCAAAAUGAA